rnacentral:rRNA from 1 species
AUGCCGCCGCCUCCCUCCCUUCCGGUGCUUCCGGCGGCGCCGAACCCCGCCGCCGUGCUCCACGCCGCGCUCCUCAGAUCCUCCCCUUCCCGCCUCCCUCCCCGCCUCUCCUUCAACUCCCUGCUCGCCGCCGCCUCCACCUCCUCGCACCCCCGCCUCCGCUCCCUCGCCCUCCCGGCCCUCGCGCUCGCGCACCGCUGCCCCGCCGCCGCCGGCCCGCUCGACUCCUACGCGCUCUGCUCCGCGCUCCGCCACGCCUCCGCCGCCGAGGCGGGGCCCCUCCACGCGCUCGCCGCGAGGUCCGGGUGGCUCGGCAGCGUCUUCGUGUCCUGCGCGCUCGCCGCGUCCUACGGCGGGUCCGGCCGGUUCCUGGACGCCCGCAGGCUGUUCGACGAAAGCCCCGUCAGGAAUGGCGUCUUCGGGAACGCCGUUCUCGCGGCCUACGUGAGCGCGGGGAAGUGGGCUCCGGCUCUGGAGUUCGCGAGGAGGUUUCCGGAGUAUGGGCUGCCGGCCGACGGGUACACGAUGACGGCCGUGGUGAGGGCCUGCGGAGAGACGGCGAAUGGUGAUCUGGGUGGAGAGGCGCACGGGCAUGCGAUCAGGAGGGUCAGAGGUGUGGGGUCCGACGUGUUCCUGAUCAGCGCGCUCGUGGACAUGUACGCCAAAUGCGGGCUCAUUGGACACGCGGAGCGGGUGUUCAGGCUGGCGCUGUGGGGCAACGCUGGUGGAGACGAUGUUGUGCUAUGGACGGCGAUGCUGAAUGCUUAUGGGCGGCAUGGGAAGUGCAAGGAGGUUAUCCAGACUUAUGACCAGAUGGUGGCUUCCGGGGUCUGGCCUGACGAUCUGGCUAUUCUGGCCGUGCUCUCAGCAUGCCAGCAUGCUGGGGAUGUUGCCAAGGGGCUCAAGUAUUUCGAGUCUAUGCGCGCAGAUUACGGGCUGGUGCCUGCACCAGAGCACUACAGUUGUGUGGUCAACAUGCUAUGCCGGGCAGGAGAAGUAGCCAGGGCAUGGGAGAUCGCUAGCAGGAAGGAAUGUGGAGGUAAUAUCGGCGUGUCUACAUGGGGCGCUCUUCUCAGUGCUUGCUGUGAUUGCCGCAAUGUUGAGCUCGGGAGACUGGCAGCUCGGAAGGCAAUUGAACUGGAGCCUAGGAAUGUUGGGAUUUAUGUCGAGCUGUCAAAUUUGUAUGCGAAUGCUGGCUUGUGGGAGGAGAUUAACAAGCUGCGGGAGGUGAUGAAGGACAGGGGUUUCGAAAAGAAUGUCGGAUCUACCUGGGUUGAGCAGAAUUCUUGA